UGUCGGUCCCCCCGCGACGCGAAGCCGCAAACCCCGUCAGGCCCGGAAGGGAGCAGCGGUAGCGGUGGAUGCGGGCGCCGGGGUGCGGCUGGCAUGG
rnacentral:SRP_RNA from 1 species